rnacentral:rRNA from 1 species
GGUGAACGCUGGCGGCGUGCUUAAGACAUGCAAGUCGAACGGCAGUCUUCGGACUGUAGUGGCGCACGGGUGAGUAACGCGUAACUGACCUACCCCAAAGUCGCGGAUAACGAUUCGAAAGAAUCGCUAAUACGUGAUGUGCUGUCAGAUUGUGUUCUGCCAGUAAAGAUUGAUUGCUUUGGGAUGGGGUUGCGUUCCAUCAGCUAGUUGGUGGGGUAAAGGCCCACCAAGGCGACGACGGAUAGCCGGCCUGAGAGGGUGGCCGGCCACAGGGGCACUGAGACACGGGUCCCACUCCUACGGGAGGCAGCAGUUAGGAAUCUUCCACAAUGGGCGAAAGCCUGAUGGAGCGACGCCGCGUGAGGGAUGAAGGUCUUCGGAUCGUAAACCUCUGAAUCAGGGACGAAAGACACGUUAUGUGGGAUGACGGUACCUGAGUAAUAGCACCGGCUAACUCCGUGCCAGCAGCCGCAGUAACAC